rnacentral:rRNA from 1 species
AUGCCGCUCCCCACGCUUCUCCUUCUUCCCCUUUCCACCCCUCCGCUGCCCCGUGCUCGCCCUUGCCAUGGCGGCCGCCUCACCCUCAAGCCGCUGGGGUGCCGCCGCGGAACCGUGCGCGUCAGGGCGUCGUCGGAGACCACCGAGCCACCGCCGCCGUCCAGAACCCAGAUGAUCAUGGACAAGAUUUCCUCAGCCGGCGACGAGGUCGGCGGCGCCGGCGGGGCCUACUCAUACGACGCGCUGAAAAGGCUGGACCAAAUCUGCUCCAGCAUAUGCUCAGCUCCCCAACAAGUCUCCCCCUCCUCCUCCUCCAAAGCCCCUCCCCAAAUCGUCACCCGGGUCCAGGGCCCAGCACCGGCGGCGGAUGCCGAUCUCGGCGCAGAGACCUUCGACGUGCUGGUGUGCGGCGGCACGCUGGGCAUCUUCAUCGCCACGGCGCUCAGCUACAGAGGCCUCCGGGUGGGGAUCAUCGAGAGGAACGCCGUCAAAGGGCGGGAGCAGGAGUGGAACAUCUCGCGCAAGGAGCUCAUGGAGAUCGUGCAGGUCGGCAUCCUCUCCGAGGCCGAGGCCGAGCAGGUGGUCACCAGCGAUUUCAACCCCAACCGGUGCGGCUUCGAGGGUAAAGGCGAGAUAUGGGUGGAGGACAUCCUCCACCUCGGCAUAUCGCCGGCGAAGCUCGUCGAGAUCAUGAAAGCGCGCUUCAUUUCCUCAGGAGGAGCCAUCUUCGAGGGGAAGAGCGUGUCGAGCAUUUCGGUUCACGACGAUCUUGCGGUGCUGCAACUGGGCGACGGUGACCGUCUGCGCUGCCGGCUCGUCGUCGAUGCCAUGGGCAACUUCUCCCCGAUCGUGCGGCAGAUCCGCUCCGGCAGGAGACCGGACGGACUGUGCCUCGUCGUCGGUGCCUGUGCCCGUGGGUUUGAGAAGAACACAACCAGUGAUGUUAUCUUCAGUAGCUCGUCAGUGAAGAGUGUUGGAGAUUCAGGGGGAUCAGUGCAGCUCUUCUGGGAGGCAUUUCCUGCCGGCUCCGGCCCGACUGAUCGCACCACAUACAUGUUCACAUAUGUCGAUCCGCAGUUCGGGUGCCCAAAGCUGGAGGAACUCUUGGAGAUGUUCUGGGAUCUCAUGCCUGGUUACCAAGAUACAGUUCUUGACAACUUGGACAUAAGGAGAGUCAUAUAUGGGAUCUUCCCGACUUACCGGGACAGCCCGCUGCCGGCCGCGUUCGACCGGAUCUUGCAGGUCGGCGACGCCAGUGGCAUCCAGUCACCCGUUUCAUUCGGAGGGUUUGGGAGCCUGACAAGGCAUCUCGGCCGACUGUCCAACGGUGUAUACGAAGCGGUUUCAGGAGAUUUCCUGGACACACAAAGUCUGAAGCUGUUAAACCCUUACAUGCCGAAUCUAAGCGCGUCAUGGCUGUUCCAAAGAGCAAUGUCGACGAGGCCCGGGACCGACAUUUUGCCGACAUUUAUCAACGAGCUUCUCUUUGCGAAUUUCCAGUCGAUGCAGAAGCUUGGGGACUCGGUGCUUCGGCCGUUUCUCCAGGAUGUGAUACAGUUUGGACCUUUGGUGAAAACGUUGGGCCUGGUCAUGAUCAGCCGGCCGCAGAUCUUGCCUGAAAUAUUCAAGCAGGUUGGAGUUGGGGUCAUCCUCAACUGGUCAGGCCACUUUGUGAUGCUUGGUCACUACACCUUCCUUUCCAGCUUUGUCGGUCCGGCUGUUAGGCCUUGGGUUAAAUCUUUGGCGCCGAGGGAUAGAUAUCGGUGGGAGCGGUAUCUUGAAGCAUGGGAAUAUGGAGCUGGCUUAGACUAUCGUCAAGAGGAAUGA